UUUUCUAUGGUAUACUAUAUUGGUAACAAAGUUGAGACGGUUGCCGUUGCCUAGUCUGGAGGUGGUGCUUAUGUAUGUAAGUCACGAAAUCCAAGAGAAAGGAGACGGCAGGACUUGUCAGUUUAUGAAGCGCUAUCCUUGAUGAUUGCCUUUGGUGGUCUGAUGGUAGCCAUUAUGA
rnacentral:sRNA from 1 species